AACGAACGCUGGCGGCAUGCCUAACACAUGCAAGUCGAACGAGACCUUCGGGUCUAGUGGCGCCCGGGUUCGUAACGCGUGGGAACCUGCCCUUAGGUUCGGAAUAACUCCCCGAAAGGGGUGCUAAUACCGGAUAAUGUCUUCGGACCAAAGAUUUAUCGCCUUUGGAUGGGCCCGCGUUGGUUUAGCUUGUUGGUAGGGUAAAAGCCUACCAAGGCGACGAUCCAUAGCUGGUCUGAGAGGAUGAUCAGCCACACUGGGACUGAGACACGGCCCAGACGCCUACGGGAGGCAGCAGUGGGGAAUAUUGGACAAGGGGCGAGAGCCUGAUCCAGCAAGGCCGCGUGAGUGAUGAAGGCCUUAGGGUUGUAAAGCUCUUUUACCCGGGAUGAUAGUGACAGUACCGGGAGAAUAAGCUCCGGCUAACUCCGUG
rnacentral:rRNA from 1 species